AGAGUUUGAUCCUGGCUCAGAUUGAACGCUGGCGGCAUGCCUUACACAUGCAAGUCGAACGGUAACGCGGGGCAACCUGGCGACGAGUGGCGAACGGGUGAGUAAUGCAUCGGAACGUGCCCAGUAGUGGGGGAUAGCCCGGCGAAAGCCGGAUUAAUACCGCAUACGACCUACGGGUGAAAGCGGGGGACUCGCAAGAGCCUCGCGCUAUUGGAGCGGCCGAUGUCAGAUUAGCUAGUUGGCGGGGUAAAAGCCUACCAAGGCGACGAUCUGUAGCUGGUCUGAGAGGACGACCAGCCACACUGGGACUGAGACACGGCCCAGACUCCUACGGGAGGCAGCAGUGGGGAAUUUUGGACAAUGGGCGCAAGCCUGAUCCAGCCAUGCCGCGUGCGGGAAGAAGGCCUUCGGGUUGUAAACCGCUUUUGUCAGGGAAGAAACGCUCUGGGCUAAUACCCCGGGGUAAUGACGGUACCUGAAGAAUAAGCACCGGCUAACUACGUGCCAGCAGCCGCGGUAAUACGUAGGGUGCAAGCGUUAAUCGGAAUUACUGGGCGUAAAGCGUGCGCAGGCGGUUAUGCAAGACAGAUGUGAAAUCCCCGGGCUCAACCUGGGAACUGCAUUUGUGACUGUAUAGCUAGAGUACGGUAGAGGGGGAUGGAAUUCCGCGUGUAGCAGUGAAAUGCGUAGAUAUGCGGAGGAACACCGAUGGCGAAGGCAAUCCCCUGGACCUGUACUGACGCUCAUGCACGAAAGCGUGGGGAGCAAACAGGAUUAGAUACCCUGGUAGUCCACGCCCUAAACGAUGUCAACUGGUUGUUGGACGGCUUGCUGUUCAGUAACGAAGCUAACGCGUGAAGUUGACCGCCUGGGGAGUACGGCCGCAAGGUUGAAACUCAAAGGUAUUGACGGGGACCCGCACAAGCGGUGGAUGAUGUGGUUUAAUUCGAUGCAACGCGAAAAACCUUACCUACCCUUGACAUGUCAAGAAUCUUGCAGAGAUGUGAGAGUGCUCGAAAGAGAACUUGAACACAGGUGCUGCAUGGCCGUCGUCAGCUCGUGUCGUGAGAUGUUGGGUUAAGUCCCGCAACGAGCGCAACCCUUGUCAUUAGUUGCUACGAAAGGGCACUCUAAUGAGACUGCCGGUGACAAACCGGAGGAAGGGGAUGACGUCAGGUCCUCAUGGCCCUUAUGGGUAGGGCUACACACGUCAUACAAUGGCCGGUACAGAGGGCUGCCAACCCGCGAGGGGGAGCUAAUCCCAGAAAACCGGUCGUAGUCCGGAUCGCAGUCUGCAACUCGACUGCGUGAAGUCGGAAUCGCUAGUAAUCGCGGAUCAGCUUGCCGCGGUGAAUACGUUCCCGGGUCUUGUACACACCGCCCGUCACACCAUGGGAGCGGGUUCUGCCAGAAGUAGUUAGCCUAACCGCAAGGGGGGCGAUUACCACGGCAGGGUUCGUGACUGGGGUGAAGUCGAAACAAGGUA
rnacentral:rRNA from 1 species